GUAGAUUUAAGUUAAAUGAAACUAUUAAUUUUCAAAAUUAAAAAUGUAAUCUAUA
rnacentral:tRNA from 2 species